UAAAUUGGACAAGAAAUUGACCAAGUUAUUCAAGGCCAAAUUUGACGUGUCAAAGCACACUUUGACAUCUAAGUUUGUUCGUUAUAAACUUCACGUGAAGAAAUUGACGAAAAAGAAAAUUGUUCUAUUUUUUCAUUUAUUUGGCGUGAAUUCAGUGUCACCAACCUGUGUCCAUUUGGCGGGAAGUGGAAGUAGAGCUGUAGAGCUUUUUGUUUAUUAUUAUUUGUUGAGGUUGAGUCUUUCAUGUUCAUGACAACCUAAAAAUUUUGAUUGGAAAAUGCAUAUAAGAUAGGGGGUGGGAAAAUGGAAAUUAGUGGCUUUUUUGCAGUUCUGUCUGUUAGUUUUGCUCUGGCUGGGUCUCUUUUGUUUAAACAAUUAUAAUCAGCUGAAAGUGGUCUACAAAAAAACCAGGAAGGAAACGUAUUAUAGCCUUGUUGUGGCUAUGAAAGGCAAAAGAAAGAUACCUAUAAAAAGUGUAUUGACUAGUUGGAAGAAACUCCACAUUGUCGAUGCAUAAUAAGAUAUUACUUUAUAAACAAAUAUCAAGACCUAGGAAUGGAACCUGGAUAAUAUAGUCAUCAAGAAGAUAGCAGGAGGUCAUGAGCAACAACAACUUCAUAAGUAUGAGAAUAUUGAGGAAAUCCAGCUCCUCGAUAUCUACUACUGGACAAACUAGAAGAUUGAAGAGGACAAAGCCUUUUGAACUAGUUUGAGUGAUAGGUGAUAGUGAAAAGCAGAGCGUAGUGCUUGUGUGCCUGUGUAUGUUAGAAUAGUGCACGAUCUUGUUAGAUUAGAUAAGAGACGCUAUAGGGUAAGCUCUUCAUUUUAAGGAACAGUAGUAAUUUAGGUUAAAUUAAAAUUGCUCAUUGGUCAGUUAUGACCAGAUUGUAAUUCUCUGAUGUUUGGCAAAAAGGGCUGAAGUCAGAAUUGCACAUCAAUAAUGUUUUGAUGAUUUCUGGACCAUAAAAAAAGUGUUGCAGACUUAAACUGUAUGUACCAAUAAAAAGAGCCGAUUUUUCUGGUCCAGAAAUCAUCAAAACAUUAUCGAUGUGCAAUUCUGACUUAAGCCCUUUUUCCCAAACAUCAGAGAAUUGCAAUGUACAAUUCAAUACAAAUGAAUCAUCAUCGUAGUGAUGAUUAUGGAAAAAAAUAUAUAUAUAUAGAAAUAUAUAUAUUUUGUGCAAUAAAAAUGUUUAUAUUUA